rnacentral:rRNA from 1 species
CUACGGGUCGCUGCAGUAAGGAAUAUUGCACAAUGGGGGAAACCCUGAUGCAGCAACGCCGCGUGGACGAAGAAGGCCUUCGGGUCGUAAAGUCCUUUUCUGAGGGAAGAGGAAGGACGGUACCUCAGGAAUAAGUCUCGGCUAACUACGUGCCAGCAGCCGCGGUAAAACGUAGGAGGCGAGCGUUAUCCGGAUUCACUGGGCGUAAAGGGCAAGUAGGCGGUUGUUUAAGUUAGGUGUGACAUCUCUCGGCUUAACUGGGAGGGAGCGCUUAAAACUAGGCAACUAGAGGGCGGAAGAAGGGGGUAGAACUCCAAAUGUAGCGGUGGAAUGCUCAGAUAUUUGGAAGAAUACCAGUGGCGAAGGCGACCCCCCGGUCCGUGCCUGACGCUGAGAGGCGAAAGCUAGGGUAGCGAACGGGAUUAGAUACCCCUGUAGUC